rnacentral:rRNA from 1 species
UACGUAGGCAGCGAGCGUUGUUCGGAGUUACUGGGCGUAAAGAGUGCGUAGGCGGCUUUCUAAGUUUGGUGUGAAAUCUCCCGGCUUAACUGGGAGGGUGCGCCGAAAACUGGAAGGCUUGAGUAUGGGAGAGGUAAGCGGAAUUCCUGGUGUAGCGGUGAAAUGCGUAGAUAUCAGGAGGAACACCUGCGGUGUAGACGGCUUACUGGACCAUAACUGACGCUGAGGCACGAAAGCGUGGGGAUCGAACAGG